rnacentral:rRNA from 1 species
CGGGGUGCAGCAGGCGCGAAAACUUUACAAUGCUGGCAACAGCGAUAAGGGGACCUCGAGUGCCAGGAUACAAUCUUGGCUGUCGCGAUGCCUAAAAAGCAUUGCAUAGCAAGGGCCGGGCAAGACCGGUGCCAGCCGCCGCGGUAACACCGGCGGCUCGAGUGGUAACCGCUAUUAUUGGGUCUAAAGGGUCUGUAGCCGGCCGGAUAAGUCUUUUGGGAAAUCCAGCUGCUCAACAGUUGGGCUUUCAGAAGAUACUGUUCGGCUCGAGACCGGGAGAGGUGAGAGGUACUUCAGGGGUAGGGGUGAAAUCUUGUAAUCCUUGAAGGACCACCAGUGGCGAAGGCGUCUCACCAGAACGGAUCUGACGGCAAGGGACGAAAGCUAGGGGCACGAACCGGAUUAGAUACCCGGGUAGUCCUAGCCGUAAACGAUACUCGCUAGGUGUCAGCCACGGUGCGACCGUGGUUGGUGCCGUAGGGAAGCCGUGAAGCGAGCCACCUGGGAAGUACGGCCGCAAGGCUGAAACUUAAAGGAAUUGGCGGGGGAGCACAAGGGCGAAUUC